AUUGAACGCUGGCGGCAGGCCUAACACAUGCAAGUCGAACGAGUGGCGGACGGGUGAGUAAUGUCUGGGAAACUGCCUGAUGGAGGGGGAUAACUACUGGAAACGGUAGCUAAUACCGCAUACCAUCGGAUGUGCCCCGAGGGGAUUAGAUAGUAGGUGGGGUAACGGCUCACAUAGGCGCCGAGCCCUCGCGGGGCUGAGAGUAUGACCAGGGAGACUGGAACAGUGACACGGUGCAGACGCUUACGGGAGGCAACAGUGGGGAAGAUUGCACAAUGGGAGGAAGCCUGAGGCAGCCAUGCCGCGGGUAUGGGGAAGGGCUUCGGGUUGUAAGGGACUUUCAGCGGUGAGGCGUUAGCAGCAGAAGAAGCACCGGCUAACUCGGUGGCAGGAGCCGCGGUAAUUG
rnacentral:rRNA from 1 species